AAGAAGUUAGUUUAAAUAAAACAGUCGGUUUCGGCCCGCCAAACCCUAGACCAACCUAGGACUUCUCU
rnacentral:tRNA from 1 species